rnacentral:rRNA from 1 species
AUGUUGAAAAAUUAGCGGAUGACCUGUGGCUGGGGGUGAAAGGCCAAUCAAACCGGGAGAUAGCUGGUUCUCCCCGAAAGCUAUUUAGGUAGCGCCUCGUGAAUUCAUCUCCGGGGGUAGAGCACUGUUUCGGCUAGGGGGCCAUCCCGGCUUACCAACCCGAUGCAAACUGCGAAUACCGGAGAAUGUUAUCACGGGAGACACACGGCGGGUGCUAACGUCCGUCGUGAAGAGGGAAACAACCCAGACCGCCAGCUAAGGUCCCAAAGUCAUGGUUAAGUGGGAAACGAUGUGGGAAGGCCCAGACAGCCAGGAUGUUGGCUUAGAAGCAGCCAUCAUUUAAAGAAAGCGUAAUAGCUCACUGGUCGAGUCGGCCUGCGCGGAAGAUGUAACGGGGCUAAACCAUG